rnacentral:misc_RNA from 1 species
UCUCCGUAGGUGAACCUGCGGAGGGAUCAUUACAGAGUUCAUGCCCUACCGGGUAGAUCUCCCACCCUAUGUUAUUAUUACUUUGUUGCUUUGGCGGGCCGUUAGGCUCCGGCCCGACUACCGGCCCCGGCUGGUAAGCGCCCGCCAGAGGACCCAAAACCCUGAAUAUUAGUGUCGUCUGAGUGCUAUAUAAUAGUUAAAACUUUCAACAACGGAUCUCUUAGUUCUG